rnacentral:rRNA from 1 species
UACGUAGGGUGCGAGCGUUUGUCCGGAAUUAUUGGGCGUAAAGGGUGCGUAGGCGGUUUGACAAGUCUGAUGUGAAAUCUAUGGGCUCAACCCAUAGUCUGCAUCGGAAACUGUCGGGCUUGAGUAUGGGAGAGGUGAGUGGAAUUUCCGGUGUAGCGGUGAAAUGCGUAGAUAUCGGAAGGAACACCUGUGGCGAAAGCGGCUCACUGGACCAUUACUGACGCUGAGGCACGAAAGCUAGGGGAGCAAACAGG